rnacentral:rRNA from 1 species
GGUGAACGCUGGCGGCGUGCUUAAGACAUGCAGGCCGAACGGCAGUCUUCGGACUGUAGUGGCGCAUGGGUGAGUAACGCGUAACUUACCUACCCCAAAGUCGCGGAUAACGAUUCGAAAGAAUCGCUAAUACGUGAUGUGCUGUCAGAUUGUGUUCUGCCAGUAAAGAUUGAUUGCUUUGGGAUGGGGUUGCGUUCCAUCAGCUAGUUGGUGGGGUAAAGGCCCACCAAGGCGACGACGGAUAGCCGGCCUGAGAGGGUGGCCGGCCACAGGGGCACUGAGACACGGGUCCCACUCCUACGGGAGGCAGCAGUUAGGAAUCUUCCACAAUGGGCGAAAGCCUGAUGGAGCGACGCCGCGUGAGGGAUGAAGGUCUUCGGAUCGUAAACCUCUGAAUCAGGGACGAAAGACACUUCGGUGGGAUGACGGUACCUGAGUAAUAGCACCGGCUAACUCCGUGCCAGCCGCCGCCGUAACAC